UCAGAAGAUUAAAAGCCUAAUCCUAAGAAGUUUUAGGCAAAGAGUGAGAAUGGAACAAAUUUGGCAGCAUUUCACUAAUGAAUUAAUCUUGCACUUACAUGACCCAAGCUCCUCUAUAUAUUGUUGAACCUUCUUAGGAUGAGAAGUGGGUUGAAGCUAUGCAUGAAGAGCUAAAUCAGUUUGAAAGGAAUGAGGUAUGGUUUCUUGUCCCUAAAACUAAUGAAAUGAAUAUUAUUGAUUCGAAAUGGGUUUUCAGGAACAAGCUAGAUGAGGAUGGAGUGAUCACAAGGAACAAAGCAAGGCUAGUUGCCAAAGGCUACAAUCAAGAAGAGGGCAUAGACUAUGGUGAAACCUUUGCUCCUGUGGCUAGAUUGGAGGCUGUGAGGCUGCUGUUGGCCUUUGCUUAUAUGAGUGGUUUUAAACUCUUCCAAAUGGAUGUAAAAAGUGCCUUCUUGAAUGGCUACAUCAAUGAGGAAGUCUAUGUAGAUCAACCACCAGGUUUUGAAGAUCACAAGUAUCCUAACCAUGUCUUCAAGUUGAAGAAAGCUUUGUAUGGACUAAAACAAGCUCCAAGGCAGUGGUAUGAGAGGCUUAACAACUUUCUGCUAUCUCAUGGUUAUGAAAGAGGAAUGGUAGACAAAACUCUCUUCAUCAAGAAGUCAAAUGCAGAAAUAAUUCUUGUGCAAAUCUAUGUUGAUGACAUCAUCUUUGGUGCUACACAAGAUAGAUUGUGUGAAGAAUUUGUGGCUGCAAUGAAAGGUGAGUUUGAAAUGUCUAUGAUGGGAGAACUAUCUUUCUUUCUUGGAUUGCAGGUUAAACAAACAAAGGAUUGAAUUUUCUUAAGUCAAUCACAAGUGGCAUUUGUCACCUUCUUGGCUCAAGCCUAAUCUCUUGGCAUAGCUGUUGGUAGUUGUUGUGCACAGAUUCUACUGCUGAAGCUGAAUAUAUAGUUGUUGGUAGUUGCUGUGCACAGAUUCUAUGGCUCAAGCAACAACUUGCAGAUUUUGGUUUACAAAUCAGCAAGGUUCCCUUGAUGUGUGAUAACACAAGUGCAAUCAAUCUUACCAAAAAUCAGAUUCAGCACUCAAGGACCAAACAUGUUGAAAUAAGACAUCAUUUCAUCAGAGAUCAUGUGCAAAAUGGAAACUGUGAAGUGAAGUUUGUGGAGACCAAACUGCAGCUAGCUGACAUCUUCACAAAACCAUUACCAAAAGAAAGGUUUUUCUUCUUAAGAAAUGAGUUAGGUAUUCUUGAUCUUAAUAAUCUCUCUUAAAUCUGUUUUUGAUACAUGUUAAAGUCUAUUUGUGAAGACAAAUAGGGGGAGAAUUAUUGGUUCUUGUAUAUCUUUGUCUGGUAUUACAUAAAAUGUUAAAAUCUCUGAUAUAAAAAGUGUUUUCUGCUGCUGCUGAUAGAAACAACCGAUUGUUUAUCAUGUUUUAUACCUUGAAUGUGCAAUAAACUGCUUUGCUGCUGUAAGAAGCUUUGGAUAGUAUAAAUGCUAUUUUUUGCAGGCACUGCUUCAGAUUUAAUCAGGUACAACACAAGCACCAGGGAUUUGUCUUCAUCAAAUAAGGGGAGAUUGUUGAACCUUGUGAUGUUCAAUGUUUUGAAGAAUCCAAAUCCUUUGAAGGAUGUUGAAGCCUCUACUUUGCUUGAUGUUGCUGUGCUUGUUUAAGCUUUGUUCUGGG
rnacentral:lncRNA from 1 species